rnacentral:rRNA from 1 species
UACAGAGGGUGCGAGCGUUAAUCGGAAUUACUGGGCGUAAAGGGCGCGUAGGCGGAUUGUUAAGUUAGAUGUGAAAUCCCUGGGCUUAACCUAGGAACGGCAUUUAAAACUGAUGAUCUGGAGUGCGGUAGAGGGUAGUGGAAUUUCCGGUGUAGCGGUGAAAUGCGUAGAUAUCUGGAGGAAUACCGGUGGCGAAGGCGGCAUCCUGGACCGAGAUUGACGCUGAGGAGCGAAAGCUAGGGGAGCAAACGGG